rnacentral:rRNA from 1 species
UACGUAGGGUGCAAGCGUUAAUCGGAAUUACUGGGCGUAAAGCGUGCGCAGGCGGUUUUGUAAGUCUGACGUGAAAUCCCCGGGCUCAACCUGGGAAUUGCGUUGGAGACUGCAAGGCUAGAAUCUGGCAGAGGGGGGUAGAAUUCCACGUGUAGCAGUGAAAUGCGUAGAGAUGCGGAGGAACACCGAUGGCGAAGGCAGCCCCCUGGGCCAAUACUGACGCUCAGGCACGAAAGCGUGGGGAGCAAACAGG